ACUUCCAUAGUGUAAUGGUAAACACGUUCACUCUCAGUGAAAGAUCUAGGUUCAAAUCCUGGUGGAAGUC
rnacentral:tRNA from 1 species